rfam:Colletotrichum incanum strain MAFF 238704 contig2315, whole genome shotgun sequence.
GGUCUAUUAGUCUAGUUGGUUAGGACGUCGGAUUCUGAUUGCGUAGUCCUAUCUUUCCGUAGGCCCAGGUUCGAAUCCUGGAUGGACCU